rnacentral:rRNA from 1 species
UACAGAGGUCCCAAGCGUUGUUCGGAUUCAUUGGGCGUAAAGGGUGCGUAGGCGGCCGCGCAAGUCUGGCGUGAAAGCCCCGGGCUCAGCCCGGGAAGGGCGCUCGAAACGGCGCGGCUCGAGUGCCGGAGGGGAGAGUGGAAUUCCUGGUGUAGCGGUGAAAUGCGUAGAUAUCAGGAGGAAUACCGGUGGCGAAAGCGACUCUCUGGACGGCAACUGACGCUGAGGCACGAAAGCGUGGGGAGCAAACAGG